GACAGAGGAGCCAAGCGUUGUCCGGAUUGGCUGGGCGUAAAGCGCACGCAGGCGGCCGUGCACGUGGGGUGUGAAAGCUGGCGGCUUAACUGCCAGACGCCACCUCAUACGGCACGGCUCGAGCCCGUGAGAGGUCCACGGAAUUGCCGGUGUAGUGGUGAAAUGCGUAGAGAUCGGCAGGAACACCCAGGGGGAAACCAGUGGACUGGCACGGUGCUGACGCUCAGGUGCGAAAGCGUGGGGAGCGAACCGG
rnacentral:rRNA from 1 species